rnacentral:rRNA from 1 species
GAAGCUCUUGAUCGAAGCCCCGGUAAACGUCGGCCGUAACUAUUAGGGUCCUAAGGUAGCGACAUUCCUUGUCGGGUACGUUCCGACCUGCACGAAGGGUGGAACCAGGGCCACGCUGUCUCCACCCGAGACUCAGUGAAAUUGAAAUCGCAGUGAAGAUGCUGUGUACCCGCGGCUAGACGGAAAGACCCCGUGAACCUUUACUACAGCUUGGCACUGAACAUUGAACCUACAUGUGUAGAAAACGUUGGACACAUUAAAAAUA